UACGUAGGGGGCAAGCGUUAUCCGGAUUUACUGGGUGUAAAGGGAGCGCAGACGGAGAUGCAAGUCUGAAGUGAAACCCCACGGCUCAACUGUGGGCUUGCUUUGGAAACUGUAUAUCUAGAGUGCUGGAGAGGUAAGCGGAGUUCCUAGUGUAGCGGUGAAAUGCGUAGAUAUUAGGAGGAACACCGGUGGCGAAGGCGGCUUACUGGACAGUAACUGACGUUGAGGCUCGAAGGCGUGGGGAGCAAAC
rnacentral:rRNA from 1 species